AUUGAACGCUGGCGGCAGGCCUAACACAUGCAAGUCGAACGAGUGGCGGACGGGUGAGUAAUGUCUGGGAAACUGCCCGAUGGAGGGGGAUAACUACUGGAAACGGUAGCUAAUACCGCAUACCAUCGGAUGUGCCCAGAUGGGUUUAGCUAGUAGGGGGGGUAACGGCUCACCUAGGCGACGAUCCCUAGCUGGUCUGAGAGGAUGACUAGCCACACUGGAACUGAGACACGGUCCAGACUCCUACGGGAGGCAGCAGUGGGGAAUAUUGCCCAAUGGGCGCAAGCCUGAUGCAGCCCUGCCGCGUGUAUGAAGAAGGCCUUCGGGUUGUAAAGUACUUUCAUCGAGGAGGCGUUACUCUCAGAAGAAGCACCGGCUAACUCCGUGCCAGCAGCCGCGGUAAUUC
rnacentral:rRNA from 1 species